UUGUUUUGGAUUUCCAGCAUCCGCAGUUUUUUUGUUUUUUUCACCAAUAGAACCGGACCGGAAGGACUCUGGUCCUCCAGUCAAUCAGAGCGCGGGCUUGGUGUGAAUGAAGAUUGAGCGCCGCAGACUAAAACUUCCUCCUGUGUCCAACAUCUGAGACAGCCUGUGGGAAACUGAUCCCAGGGGUCUCCAGGGUGAAUUUGAGUGAUUCAAGUGGGGCGGAUAUUAGAAGGGGAGGAUUUGCGGACUGAAAUCUCAAAUCAAACUUAACGUCAAAAUCUGACAAUUGCUUGAUUCAUCGCGACCUGAAUAUCACUGGCCUUUGAAUCUAGAAGGAGAAAUGUUUGUUUUCCUGCUUCAAAAGAUUUUAAACAUCAAUGUGAUUGGAAAAGCACCGAGACACACACACCUGAGUGAGAGUGUUCCAGUGCACUGACUGUGGAAAGAGCUUUAACCAGUUACACAGCCUGAAAAAACAUCACCAUUCUCAGCGGCGACAAAUCGUACACGUGUUCUGUGUGUGGACUAGGCUUCAACUGACUGUUGAACCUGGAGAGUCACAAGCACACCUGCACCAUGGAGAAACAGUGGAAAUGUGGGGACUGUGGGACGGGAUUCAAAACCCCAUUGAAACUGGAAACUCAUCAAUGCAGUCACACUGGGGAGAGGCCGUUCACCUGCUCUGAGUAUGGGAAGGAUUCUCUGCUUCUUCCACCCUGCAGACACACCAGCGAGUUCACGCUGGGGAGAGGCCCUUCACCUGCUCUGAGUGUGGGAUGGGAUUCAGUAAUUCAUCCAACUUCCAGAGGCAUCAGCGAGUUAACAACAGGGAAAAGCCAUUUACCUGUUCUGAGUGUGGGAAGGGAUUCAGUAUUUCAACUCAUCUGCAGACACACCAGUGAGUUCACACUGGGGAGAGGCUGUUCACCUGCUCUGAAUGUGGGAAGGGAUUCAGUA